rnacentral:lncRNA from 1 species
CCCUGACCCUUUUGAUGAUAUCUUGGUAACUUCAGUGAAAGGCCAUCAGGUAUGUAAUUAAAUCCAUUUCUUGCAACAGCAAUUCUGAACUUAAUCAUCAUAAAACUCAGGCACAUUCUUUUCCUACGCUACCAGGUAGCUGCAGUCAAUAAAAUAAGUCAUGCAGUUGGAAAAGCAGAACAAUUCAAUGCUGCUAACGAAACAAUUUUUGGCAUCGAACAAUAUUGACUGUGUUAAAUACCUGAUCAUCAGGAUAAAUGUAACUAAGCAGAAGAGGGUCAGAUAGCCAUGAACCCAAGAUCUCCGAAUCGUGCUUAUAGUAAAGCAGCAAGCUUGAGAGACUAGUGCCUUCGUCUGAUAGUCAGUAGUUGUGGUUCAAUUGUUAUAUCUAAGCUUCCGUGUGGACCAUAGAACUUGAAGAAAGAUGAUCCUUCUUAUUCAAUAAGAAUCCAGAUAAAUAUUACCUGAAACAGCUGCCAUCACCAACCUACAGAUGCAAAAGAUCAAAAGUGCCACCCUUUAGCCCGCCAAUAUCUUUGUGCAUUUUCAUUGACACGAGCGUUCUUUAACUUCAGGAAAAGCUUAUAUGCUAUUUCUACUUUAUUUGAAGCCAGCAGUUUAUUAUUCAGUUUGCUACAAAUAAGCUUGCUAGGGAAAAAUCCCUUGUGCAGAGAUUCCUCCAUGACUAGGACAGCAGUUUCAAGCUGCCCCGUGUUACAGAGGCCAUUGAUAACAUACUCAUAAGCCUGCAUAUCACAAGAAUAGCCACUUUCUUGCAUCUCCUCCCAUAUAUUCAGCAGCAUCCCACACUUCCCAAACCUAGAUAACCGCAUAAGCAAGAGCUUAUAGGCAGUCAGUGAUAUUCUGCAUCCAACUUUUCUUGCCUUAUUAUAUAUCAUCAAGGCAGCAUGAGGCGGACCAUAGCCACACAAAGGUUCAAUGAACGUGGUGAGAGUACCUGCUGUAGGAAUGAUCCCUCGAGCUAGCAUUUCAUCAAACAGUUCGAUAGCGUCUGAAACUCUUUUAACUUUAAGAAAUGCAGCUAUUAUUCUAGCAUAAGUAUCCAUAUUUGGCUCAUAAUUAUUACUCAACAUCCGCUUAUAAUAUUUCAAGCCUUCAUCAAUAUCUCCAACAGCAAUAAAAUUAAAAACCAUUGCAUUAUAAACCCCAGUACUUAGCAUAGUUCGUUUCUCCUCAAAGUACUCAAAGAUCUUAACAGCGUUAUCAACACGACCAGAUCUCCCCAAACCCUCAAGAAUAUAACUGUAAGUUACACAAUCAUGCUCAACUCCAUCGUUCACCAUAACUUUCAAGAAUUUCUCAACUUCACUAACUCUGCCAAACUUGGACCACCCACCUAUGAUAAUAUUAUAAGUCUCGCUGUCAGGUUGUACUUUCUCUUUCAUUCUGUUAAAUAGUGAACUUGCAGUGCCCACAAAUGAUCGUUGACAUAAGCACUGCAAAAUAACAUUCAACGUCUCCACAUUAACUUUUAAACCAUAUUUCUCCAGUUCCCCGAAAAUUUUAAUAGCUUUAGAAACUUGUCGAGCACGAACAUAACUAUCCAGAACAAUGAAAAGGGUUUUGGGAUUAGGGUUCACUUCCUUAGCUCUCAUAUCAUUUAAUAUUUCCAUCAUAUACAUAAAAAAUUAGAAAGGGUUCAACUGUUCAAGUAAUUUCCUGAUCUUUAAAUUCUUAUGGAAGCAUAACUGGAGCCUGCCCAAUGAGAUGAUCCCAGCAUUUCCAGUGGUGAAAAUGAUAUCCACUGAAGAUACAUGAUGCUCCAUUAAGCACUUCCUGGCACAUAUCUAAAACACAAGGAAUGACAUCUUUUAUUUAAUUUUCAAACAAUACUGCAUCUGCGAAGCACAGAACAGCAUUCAAUCGGGGCCAGUAUAUUGUGUAGACCACUACAUUAACUUGAAAAUUUAAUUACACAAAGAGUCAAUAAAGCAUUAGAAAACAACAAAGGCACAAUAAAUGAUGCACAGAAAAUACAUGCCCUGACCCUUUUGAUGCCCUGACCCUUUUGAUGAUAUCUUGGUAACUUCAGUGAAAGGCCAUCAGGUAUGUAAUUAAAUCCAUUUCUUGCAACAGCAAUUCUGAACUUAAUCAUCAUAAAACUCAGGCACAUUCUUUUCCUACGCUACCAGGUAGCUGCAGUCAAUAAAAUAAGUCAUGCAGUUGGAAAAGCAGAACAAUUCAAUGCUGCUAACGAAACAAUUUUUGGCAUCGAACAAUAUUGACUGUGUUAAAUACCUGAUCAUCAGGAUAAAUGUAACUAAGCAGAAGAGGGUCA